AUGUCUGCUGCAUCGGGCUAUGUUGCUGUCCCUCGCUAUCCGGUGAUCUUCGAUGGUACCAACUACAUCGAGUUCGCUGGCUUCAUGCGCAUUCACAUGCGUGGCAUUCGUCUCUGGGGUGUUCUUUCUGGCGAGGUCUGCUGUCCGCCACGUCCGGUCCCUCCGGUGGCCCCUACUCCACCGACUCCACUGGUUCUUCCUACGGACGCUACUCAGGCCGCCAAGGAUGCGGCUAAGCUUGCCGAUGAGACUGCUGAUCGUGUUUAUGAUGAGAGGGUUUUGGCUUAUGAGGAGGCUCUUCAGACGUAUCAUGGUGCUUUGUCUGUUUACACCCAGUGGCUUGAUGAUGAUGCUCGUGCUGCAGCUGUUCUCACUGCUAGUGUUCUGCCUCAGUUUGCUUCUGAGUUUCUGGGUCUUCCUACUGUCUUUCAGAUGUGGACCUGUCUUCGUCAGCGCUAUGAGCCCUCUGGUGAUGCCUUAUACCUUUCUGUGGUUCGUCAGGAGCAUGCUCUUCAGCAGGGUGACUCUACUGUUGAUGACUUUUAUGCACAGAGUUCUGCUAUCUGGCGCCAGCUUGAUUCUCUCCGCAGUGCUGGUUGUCGUACUUGUCCCUGCUGCCAGGCUGUCCAGGCCAACUUGGAGUUUCAUCGUGUCUACGAGUUCCUGUCUCGGCUUCGUAAGGAGUUUGAGCCCCGGCGUGCUCAGUUGUUUGCUCGUGGCCGUAUUUCUCUCAUGGAGGCGCUUUCAGAGAUUCGUGCUGAGGAGACUCGCUUACGUGGUGCUGGUUUGCUGGAGGUUCCCUCUGUGCUUGCUACUCGGGCUUCUUCCACUCCACCUGCUGCACCGCUCCAUUCUCGCUCGAGUGCUCCACCGCUCUUGCCCACUCCUUCUGGAGGCUCAGGUCGCCCCCGUCCACAUUGUGACUACUGCAACAAUGAUGGUCAUAUUGAGUCCCAGUGCUACACGAAGCGGAAACACCUGCGCAAGGCGCGAUCCUCCUCCUCUGGGACUUCGUCAUCUCCCUCGACAGCUUCAGCCAUUGCUUUGACUGAGCAGGAUAUUCUGAGACUUAAGCGUCUGCUCGCGGCUUCAGGUUCUUCCUCGACGGGUACUGCUGGUUCUGUGACUGAUGCUUCUCGCACUGAGCACCUGCCCUCUACACAGUCAGGAUCGUCGCACGCACACUCUGGUUGGGGCUGGCCCUCGCCGCCGUGA
rnacentral:rRNA from 1 species